ACAAUAUAAAACCACUAGACCCUAGACCAGCACAGGCUGAACAGGUUUCAAGACUGCGAGGCUGGACCACAACCACAGGUAGACGUAGGGACCAUAACUUGAUCUCUUGGUUUUCUAGCAUCUAGAUUUAAAAUGUUAUAAUCAACAGCAUUUUAAAGGUGCAUAAUAUAUCUUGAACUGUUAUUUUAAAGGACCUGAGGAGUUUGUUAUCACUUCAGUCUCUAACAUCAGCUUUGGAUAUCUUACUAUGGACUGACCCUUAAUCCAAACUCAAGGUUCAGAGCUUGGUGCAGACACUGAGGUGCAGCCCUGCACAAAGAGUUUUACUACAUCAAACAUUGUUGCUAAUGGUUCCCUUUUGGCUUCCCCCACUCAGGUUUGUUUAAAGAAGCUGCCUUUGCCUGGCAGUUCCUUCAGUUUGACUUGGAAGCAGGAUUUUCUUACACAUACACGUGAGCAUUUUUGCCUUGCUGCAUCACAGCUGAACACAAUUUGCCCGUGCCUUUAGUGGGACCAUAUUUCAUCAGAGAUGCACAAGAAUGCCAGAGGAACCACACUAGGGAAGCAUCACAUGUGGUUCUCAGGGAUGGCUUGUGGAUGGCGAGAGAAGAAACAUCCUUCGGCUUCAAAGAAAUCCUGGGUUUUAUUAGCAUUAUCGGGAGAAAUUGUCACUCAGGGGCUUGCUGUUGGUUUAGGCCCAGCGGUCAUUGGUCUAAUAACCUUCUGACUGAGGUUGGGAUUAAAAAGUCAAAAGUUUUUGGUUCAUUCAGCAAGUGGGACCCUCUGUCUGAGCACGUUAACAUCUGCAUUGACUCUUUGUUCUGCCCCAGUGGUCCCCAGCCCACGCUGGCCCAGGGAUAAUAUCAAGAAGGAAUGCACCGUCUUUUUUUUUUUUUUUUUUUUUUUUUCCCACUCCCUUCCCCAUCCUUUUCAACUCCUAUGGCUGCAAGCAGCCUCAGAGGGUCCAUAAGGUUAACAAAUUGGGAAUUUUAACCCACUUUGUUUCAGCCUCCCCUGAACCAUGCCUGUCGGCUUUGCUGCGGGGCCAUGAACCCGGGACUCUUCCUGCCCGAUGGUCCCCAGGCCCCCGUGCUCGCAGGGCUGGGAGCUGUGGGGCAGCCUCAGAGGGGCUGUGCCCCAGGGCGAGCCAUGCAGAUCUUCGGGGAUGAAACAAAAUGUUUCAGAUGCAAUGAAUUGGACAUCUGUUUCAUCAGAGAGGGGAAAAAAAAUGAAAGAAAGAAAAGAUAAAUUUCAUCAGCUCUAAUGAGAGAUGCGAAGAUAUUUUGGUAUGUUGAUAGGCUGCCUCCUGCUCCUCACAGCUGGAACAAACACGCUACCUAAUCUAUUGGCUCCGAGGAAUGAUUUUUUUUUCCCUGGGUAAUACCUUUUCUUCACAUCAGAGCACUGAGUAUCGGUAGCACGCACUUGAUGUUUUUCAGUGCUCUCUUUAGCGUUUUUGGGUCAUUGCCAGCCUUCAAUUUACCUGCAUGUUCCCCUAUCUCUAGGCUGCGGAUCCAUCCUGUGCUGGAUUUCUUAGAUACAAUGACAUCUCCCAUGCAAGCUAUUGUUUUUUUUUUUUAAUUCUGCAGCUUUAUUUGUGCUAAAAAUCUGUUUUGUUUCUCUGUUAAUCUGAUCAGGGGAUCUGCUUUUACCCCAAAUUUGCCCUGUAGGAUUCACCUCCUCCAACUGCUUCCCCACCCCACGAGUGUGCUGGACCAGGCCUGCAGGACUUUGUCCUCCUCACCCUGAGGACAUCUCAGCAUCACCCAUCACCCACAGAGAAGUUGUUUGACUGAGCCUGAUGUUUUUGUGUUGCUCUGGACCCUUAGAUCAUGGACCCUUAAAUCCUGGUAAGAAACCAUCCUGUCUGGCUCCUGCCUCUUUCACAUCCUCAUGAUCUGAACGUGCCUCCUUCUCCCAGGAACACAUCUGUGUGCAUACAGGAACAGAAACAGGGGUUUAGAUGACUCUAUGGGAAUUGCACCUGGGAAAAGGGAGGUGGCCUCAUACUGCAGCAUUUGGAAACAAAUUCAGAGUGCUCUCCAUGACCCUUCUCUGCAUGUCACUAUCUGGGCUGUGGGACCAGCCCUCAGAGAAGGGCCACGGAACCGGCUGCUGCUUGGGGGCCGCUUCUCCUUCCCCCAAGCUCUGCGAUAACAUUUCCAGUGAGCACAGAGGGGCAAAUGGCAGAACACUUGCAAAUGUUUGAAGGGCUUUUGCCGAUCAGAGUUCAGCGCUCCAGUUAUUCAUUAUUUCAUAGCAAAGAAGAAAUAGAGCCUCGGUGUUCUCUAAGUGAUAGACACAGGGUGACAAUCACAGGGGCUCUGGUGAACUUCCCGAUAUUAAGGCAGAUAAAGUGCUAUUCAGAUGUAAUCCAAUCAACAAGACACUACUCAAAGCAAGCUGGGUAGCAUGGCAAACUGAGCUGAUGAUCACCCGGAGUUCUGUACCUCUGACGUACAAUGGUGAGAAUAAAAACUAAAGAAGAACUGGCCUAUUUGAAACUUCAGGAUAAGUGUCAGGGUGUUUCCUGACAUGCGAUUAUCAGUGGUUACUGGUGACAAGGAGACUGGUGAGAAAUGGAGGGAGAUGAUAAGCAAGCACUUGUGGUGCGCCUGGGGUAGACAAAAGAAGAGUCAGAAAGAAACAUUUAUAUUUUCUGGAGCAAAGAGAUUAAUUAGCGAGAAGAGCUGGUUUUGCAGAACAGAGCAGGUUUUCUUCACAAAUGGGCCUGAAUAGUAUCAUUAUGGAGAUGGGGGUCUACAUGGGCUUCUAUUUCUCCUCUUGGGAAACUGCGUUUUGUUUGCUAGCGAGGGAAAAGCAAUCUCCUUAGUCCUACCAGGAAAUCUAUCCCCAGUAAAACUAAAUCUUAAUUAAAAAAAAAAGCUAUUUUUUUUGUUGUUUGCUUGUGUACUUUUUUGUGUGACAACAAAUGCCUUGUUAAAAAGUGUCCAUCCAUGUCCAGCAAGUGCUCCUUAAAGCCUAAAACCUUUGAAGGAUAAAUUUCAAGUGGUGAAGAAAGGGUUGCAUCACCAUCAUCCUACGCAACUGUUGCAUACUUUACAUUUGGUCCCCAUUUUAAACGAAAAGACAAUUUGUGAGGUAGAUUGGCUGCUACAUUCAACCCAUCUGUUAUGAUCUUGGCUAUUUUUUAAAGUUCCCACUUCAGGGACGUUUCCUACAGGAUAAGAAAGAGGGACCAUUGGCCACCCAUUGACUGCAGGAGUGCUAUGGAGAGGAGGUAGUGGGACAGGAGGGAAAAAGGCAGUUGUAAAAGACGUGCCUAAACAGAUUAUCCAAGCUGGCAUCACUGGUGAAAAAGAGACUGAGAUAUAGUAGGGAAGAAUGACAUA